rnacentral:rRNA from 1 species
CGACCGGCGCACGGGUGAGUAACACGUAUCCAACCUGCCGAUAACUCGGGGAUAGCCUUUCGAAAGAAAGAUUAAUAUCCGAUAGCAUAUCAAGAUCGCAUGAUCUUGAUAUUAAAGAAUUUCGGUUAUCGAUGGGGAUGCGUUCCAUUAGUUAGUUGGCGGGGUAACGGCCCACCAAGGCGACGAUGCGUAGGGGUUCUGAGAGGAAGGCCCCCCACACUGGUACUGAGACACGGACCAGACUCCUACGGAAGGCAGCAG